rnacentral:rRNA from 1 species
GGAUAACAUACCCUUGGGUGGGGGAUAACCUCGGGAAACUGAGACUAAUACCCCAUAGACCUAGGAUGCUGGAAUGCUUCUAGCUCCAAAGCUCCGGCGCCCAAGGAUUGGUCUGCGGCCUAUCAGGUAGUAGUGGGUGUAACGGACCCACUAGCCUAUGACGGGUAUGGGCCUUGAAAGAGGGAGCCCAGAGAUGGACUCUGAGACAUGAGUCCAGGCCCUACGGGGUGCAGCAGUCGCGAAAACUUCGCAAUGGGAGCAAUCCCGACGAGGGAAUUCCAAGUGCCAGCACAUUGUGUUGGCUGUUCUCCUGUCUAAAAAACAGGAGAAGUAAGGGCCGGGUAAGACGGGUGCCAGCCGCCGCGGUAAUACCCGCGGCCCGAGUGGUGGUCGAUAUUAUUGAGCCUAAAACGUCCGUAGCCGGUCUUGUAAAUCCUUGGGUAAAUCGGCCAGCUUAACUGUCCGAAUUCCGAGGAGACUGCAAGACUUGGGACCGGGAGAGGUCAGAGGUACUUCCAGGGUAGGGGUAAAAUCCUGUAAUCCUGGAAGGACCACCGGUGGCGAAGGCGUCUGACUAGAACGGAUCCGACGGUGAGGGACGAAGCCCUGGGGCGCAAACGGGAUUAGAUACCCCGGUAGUCCAGGGUGUAAACGCUGCGGGCUUGGUGUUGGGGGUCCUUCGUGGGCGCCCAGUGCCGGAGAGAAGUUGUUAAGCCUGCUGCUUGGGGAGUACGUCCGCAAGGAUGAAACUUAA